GCUGGGUGUGGUGUUAUACACCUGUAAUCCCAGCAACUUUGGAGGCUGAGGCUGGAGGAUUUCAAGUUCAAAGUCAGCCUCGGAAAUUUAGCAAAGCCCUAAGCAAGUUAGGGAGACCCUGUCUCAA
rnacentral:sRNA from 1 species